UAAGAGUCCCAGCUGUGAGACGGGGGAAUAUUCGGAAAUAGAGAGAGAAAGGACGGUUGCAUUUGCAUUUGCAUAGAGAGAGAGAGAGAGAGAGAGAGAGCGCAGGAAGGUGCAGAGCAAAGGGGAGCGCAAGCGCUUAGUCAACACAGAAAGCGUUUAACUCUUUUUCUUUUAUUUUCUUUCAUUUCUUUCUUUCUCCGAUCGCAUCGCCAUGCCUUCUCGAAGAAGAACUCUCUUGAAAGUCAUCAUUCUCGGUGACAGCGGGGUGGGGAAGACGUCGUUGAUGAACCAAUAUGUGAAUAAGAAGUU